AGCUGUCAGAUGGUUUCUCAGGAAGCACUGCUGUGUUUGCAGGGCAGGCUGCGUACGUGCGAUUUCUGUCCGUGUCUGCAGGAAGCGUGGCUGGUUCGGCUGCUUCACAGCAUCCCCAGGACCCCGGUUCCUGGUCCUAAAGUCGUUGGACGCAAUGUUUGAAGACCUUUUCUCUGCCUGUAAGCUGGCCAGCUGCUGGCUGAAUGGAUCCCACGGGUACAAGCAUUGCGUAGCAGCAGCAGCAGCAGGAGGAGGAGGAGGAGGAGGAAGAGGAGGAGGAGCACCGGCCAGGCUGUCUGCAGCACACAGAGGUUCAGCAGAACUCAGCAGGCAUCUCCUGUCCAAGGCCACCUGUGCCAGCCCCUGUUCUUUGGCACAAAGCAGGAACACAAAUGGGAAGAGAGACACCAAACAACUGGUCGGCACGGGGACCAGGCUGGCUUCAGCCCAAGGCACCGCGCGGCUCCUUCAGCUGUUUCCCAGGCUGAACAAUUGAAAUUCCCAGCUGGUUUAAGAGAAGGAACAUGUGGUAUGGUGAGCUCCUGCUCCCAUCUCAACGUCCCUGUAGCAUCACAAAGGGCAUGUCCUAUCCUGGCCAGGUCACACUUCUUUGCAAUGCACUGUCAGUCGAGGAAAACACAAGGUUGUGUGCUCUCUUUGAAUGGCAAUUGCCCAGCACUUCCAAGUAAGAGAUGCUGGCAUCUGCUAAACAAACACAGGUCUAAACAAGCACAGCUGAAGUGGCACAAUUCAUCUAGCUUCCUGCUGGGGCCUUAUCUGUUAGCCUUUCCAUUUUUGUUUAUUUGCUGUAGCACAUUUUCUUUAUUUGCAUUGCGCUUUUGGCAGUAGUUCUCUAGCACUGACUCCAGCUACCUUCCCACAGGCGCUCUGGCACAUGAAGAGAUGAUGCCUAAUCACUGCAGCCUUGGUGCUUCACAACAAUGACUCUUCAUAUCCAAAAAUAACAUGGUGUGAGGAAGAAACCCCAAUUCCUGCGCUAUGAACACUGGAGUGAGUGCAACUUGUGGAAUACAGACUCCAGUGGUGAUGAAAUCCAGCACUGUUUUGCUAGGGGUGAACACUAAAGUGACUGCCUGGUUUAAGCCACAUCAGGAGCAGCAUUUCCACCUUCCUUUUUGCUGGUGAGAGGAGUUUCAGGGGCAAAUAUAUAUACUGACAUGAGGAAUCAGUCUCUCCAGUCUGUGUUCAUUUUCCUGUUUAAAUCAACGUGUUUUACCAUAGCAACAACCAAAGAAUCAGCAUUGUUCGAGCAAACAAACAGUUAUUAAAGCACUCUGCUGAAAUAUUUAUGCUUUGUUCCCAAAUCCCACUAAGUGCACUGCUCGAGCAGCACAGCAUGGCACAGCGUGGAACCAGGAGUGUCAGGAGAGCCUUUUCUCUGCUGCCUGGCAAAGUGGAACAAACAGUGUUCAGCGGGCUGUUUGUCAGCCCCAGAGAUAACCACCUCCACACAGCAAGACUGAGGGACCGCGAGGGGGAAUCCACUCCACCAGGGACCAGGGCAUCCUCAGCCCUUCUUUGCACUGAGGGUAGAGGCUGCAGACAGCCUUGGAUGCAAAAUUCUAAAUUGCCUUUUUUUUGCACACCCUGAACUUCACGCCACAGUGCAAGGAAACGCUUUUUGUCAACAUUUGUCAUUUGUGUGCUGAUUUUUGUAAGGAAUUGAAAGAGAUAAGAAAUGCAAGAGGAGUGUGUGGGGUGGGAACUUGAAAGCGUUCAAGAAAGGAAGCAAAUCAGAUGGCAUGUUCCUGAAAACAGCCCCCCAAAACACACUGUCACAUGCAUGUGCUGACAAUAAACAUGUUCCUUUGUAUGGGAAUUGCUAAAUCAUGGCCUGAACCAAUGAUUGAGCACCUGCUGAAGGGGCACAGCCAGCCCUGGGAGCACAAGUGAAAGCAAUUCACCCAGUUCCACCCCUCCCUAAGCCUCAUUUAAGGGCUGGCUGCCCCAGGAGAAGGUUCUCUAGCUGGAGAUCCCUCCCUUGGGAGUAUUUGGUGAGUCUGAUCUUUGGAAUGGCUUCCAGGGUCACCACGUGUUUGGAGAGGAUGGCCAUGUGAGAAGAGAAGCACGUGUCUGUAUUUCACCUCUUUUGGUAGCUGGUAGAUCUGUGGGGAGUUGGUUGUCAAGGAAAAAGUGCCCGUUUUCCCCUUUAUUUUCCUUUGUAAAGAAACAACAUGACUACACUGCUAAGAACCAUAUGCCAGAGCACUCCGGGAGAUGGGGCUGCUGAAAGCAGUGGAGUGCAUUGCUUCCAAACAACUGAUGAAGCAAAUAUCUUGGAGGAAGUUAGCCUCGCCACUGGGAUCUGAAUCAUUCAGACUGGAAAGAUCCAGAGAAGAUGACUGUUCCACCUGUGCAAAGAUGAGAUACACAUGGUCAAAGCAUUUCUUGCAUCCUCCAACAUGGGAAGCAAGGGAAUAAGAUGCAGUGUAAGCGUAAGAAAGGAAAUCAGACCAUACUUUGAUAUACAUUUAAAUUGGCACUGUUAUCAGAGCCUCAGCAUCCUUCAUCCUAGAUUCACUCUCUUGCAUGCACCCCCUCCACAGCUCAUUUGCUGUGCCUAGGCACAUGGUGGAUAUAUCUUCUGAACAGGACACCAUGGGAUAUGGGUGCUAAUGCUGGCUGUAUUAAUGCAGCCACACAGCUUCUUGGACAGGCACACUUCCACAGAAUGAAAUAUCUAAUCUCCGUCCUAGACUGCAGUGCUCUGCGAAGGCAUGAACAGCACCGAUGGGAAAUGCAGCUCUCAGGCAGGAUUCCUGUAAGAUCCCAAUGUAAUAGAGGUAUUGGUUCUUUCAAUCCCCACUGUCACAAAAGGACUUGGAAUCACGCCACCUAAAGCUUCUUGAAAUGUCUUGCUUUUCAGACCUCACAGCUCUAACUUAGAUGUGAAUUGGGUGCUUACAGAGCAAGAGGUGCAUCAAGCAGGAAUGAAAAUGUGCUGCAGUGCACGGUCUGACAGGCACUGCACAAGGACCUCACACUGCCUCCUGCUCAGCAAGGAGCAUCUUGGCUCUGCUUAAACCAAGGCAGAGAUCUCCAAGUCCAGCUUCAGGAAGAAAGGCCAACCCCAAGGCCAGGACAGCCUCCAUACAAGCCCUGUGACAAGGACAUGCCACUGCCAGGGAAACCAUCAAGUCCUGCAGCAUCCACGGACUCAACCUGCUCUGGAAUAAUAGAACACAUCUUUUGCAGCAAAGCCCCCUGAAGGGCUAUUCAGGGGCUGGCAUCAAUGAAAGCAGGGAUAAAUAAGAGUGAAGUGCUGCUUUGUUUUCUGGUGUUGGAAGAACUCGAUGAGGGAGCACUCUGUGACCAUUUAACCUAAAUGAUGCAGGGCUGACUGUGCUAGCCUGCAGAGCGCUGUUUGUUUAUCCAGCGACACUAAGCACAAGCACUUGGCAGGCUUUUCUCCAGCUAUUCCAAGAAGUUUUUUCUUAGAGAGUCCCACUGUCCUUUCAAUGUUCUCUAAUGCAAGUGUUCGUGGCAUUUCUCCAAGGAAGGUUAUUGCAAAUCACUCAGCAUGGAUAACAAGGAGGAAGGGGUACUGUUCUACUUCAAGUAUUUUUAAUUGCUUUGUAUUUGGUGGUGCCAGCGUCUCACACAGAUUCCGGCAGGCAGAUGACUAUGGAGAGGCAAGUGCCACCAGCAGCUGGCCAGAUGUCAGCAGGGGACAAACCCCAGGGACGUGCACUCACACCACACACAUACAAGUCAUGGCAUUCAACACAGGGGCCAGGAGGUGGCUGUUUACACUGCAAUAACCACAAGCAACAAAAGCUUCCUGUGGCAUCCAUGGAUCCCACCCAUGCAUUGUACAGGAAGUUGUGUAUCUUGUCCAUUGCCAUGGGUGGAACCAGGCAGUCUUGGCACACGUGAGGACAGGAAUUCCCCAUGAAAGGUGGAGGAACAUUGCUCGCAUGCAAGUUACCAUCAUCCCGAUUCACUACAGACAGCUACAAAACAGCCUUUAAAACAGCCUUUUUAACAGCCUCAAGUAUUAAAUUAUGGGCUCAGCAGAGGUUUUUACAGCACACUACAAUUGCUGCCAUCCCUCAUCUCCAGCCCUGUCUUCCUCAGACAACAGCACCUUAUUUCCAAGCAGGAAGCCAGCAUCUCUCACUUCCCUGUGCACCACACACCUGCUCUCUCACUUGCCCAACUGAUCAAGUUCAGCUCAGAGCCAUUGAUCUCAACCCAUGUAUAGCAUUAAUUUUGUUCUUUCUCUUUUGGUCUUAAAGAGGACACUGUGCACCCAAGAGUUCGUCUGCCUUUCUCUUUCCCAUGAUAUCAGUCUAAUAGAAGGCGUUUUCUCUGCCAGCUUCUUCUCACUCAUACCCUUAGAUCAACAAUGUUACCUACAAAGACUUUACUAAUAAGUGUUUAUGGUUUGAUUUUUUUAGCACCUACAAGUUUCUGAAUUUCUUUUCUGAACUUGACUUAGCACAGUGUAUCCCAUCAGUGAACAAGGCUGAUUCUUUACUAGGGGACUGCCAGCUGUGUACUUGCCCAUCUGAGAGGCUGGCUACUUAAGUUCUGGCUCAGUGUCAACUUAAUUUCCAAACUGGAGCUGGUUUACAGCUGAGUGGCUCAGCUCAUGGGCAAUCCAGGAUCCCUACACCGGUCACAAAAGCGUACUGUGAUGUGGGGCAAUUGACUCUGAAUCUAAACCAAAAUGUUCUUCAUUUGCUCUUCACAUUAGCUCCUCUAGCACAGCCCUUCAUAUGCAUCCCAGGCAGAGGUGACAAAGGGGACACUUUGGUUAGCAGAAUUUUUAAGCACUUGCAGGACCCAAUUUGGCCCCUUCUCCACAUGGAGACUUUCAGGAGGUAGGCAGCCCCUUGGCCCCUAGGCAUGGGGAAAAGGAAGGUCCUGAGUCGAUGAGGUUUAGCUCCAAUCACACAUUUUCAAUUAUUUGUUCUGGAUCUCAUGAUCUGAAAUAUUUCCAUUUUAUGCCACAAAACAGUUGGCAUUGGCUAUAGUCUGGCUCACCCUAGUGGUCUGAAGCUUAAUGAGAUGUAUGUAACGCUCUUCAAUUAUUCUGGGUGGUUUAAGUAUUAAGGAAAAGCCAUUCGAUCACUUUUGAGCAGCUAAAUUAAAAGCAAACUGGAUUUUGAUAACUAUGGUGUGUUUGUAGGUGAUAAAUGCUUUUUAACAAAUCUCAUAAAACCUCCUCUCUCUGCUAGUCCGAAUGCAAUUUGGAUUUUUAUGGUAUUUUUUUAUAGUUCCUCAAAUAAUUUCAUCAGCAUAAAGUUUCCUUCUGGAUGGAAAUUUAAUAAAAAGCUGAAUUGUUGUGAAAGGUGUAAGCAUGAUCUAAUCUUGCCUGCUGUUAUUCCCAGUCCUUGUAAAUGUAUUCCUAGCAGUCUGAGAGUUGAUAAUUAAUAAAUGCAAUAAAUUACUUGGAAAUUUCAAGCACACACCCUGCUGUGCCCGCCAGCCUGGCCAGAAGUAACAUCUUCAUGUUUAAGAUGCAUGCCCCAGUGCUUCUGCAGUCCAGUGUAACUAGCUGCAUUACCCAGCUGCCUUUGGCACCAGUGGGAUGUCUCAUGUUUGUAAAGCUGCACCAGAAUGAGACUUGGGCAAAAAUGCACUCAGAUAAAGAUGUAAAGAUGUCCUCCUCUUAGGUCAUGGAAUGGCAAAAGGAAAA